AGUAGCACAGGUUUAGAGUAUCAGGCUUAUUUUACUAUUAAUUUUAUUUAAUUUUAAUCCCUAUAAAUCGUCGAAAAAAUAUGUCGGAAAUGUGAGUAAAAAACUACAUGGAUAAUCUGUCAGAAGAUAUAAAACAGUUCAUGGGUAGCACAUUUAGUAAUUAUAUGUGAUAAUAUGGUGUAUGUGUAUCUCCAUGAUAACAUUACUUUUAUUUUAUUUAUUUCUUAGUCCAUAUAAUACUGGAUAAUCUGUCAGAAGAUAUAAAACAGUUCAUGGGUAGCACAUUUAGUAAUUAUAUGUGAUAAUAUGGUGUAUGUGUAUCUCCAUGAUAACAUUACUUUUAUUUUAUUUAUUUCUUAGUCCAUAUAAUAUGAUUUUUACGUAUUAUUUAAAAAACAGACUAUACUGGAGAUGUGUGAUUAUUGCCAUUAUAAAUUUGCUUUUUUUUUCUGUAGGAAAUAACUAGUGUUGACCAGUUUGAAGCUUUUUCUGGCGAAGGAAAGAUCUUAAGACAAAAGAAAUAAAGGUGUAUUAACUUGAAUGUGGACUGACCCUGUUUUGAACAAGUAAUGUUGACUAUAAUUCCAAGUAUAUCUUCAUGAAAUGUGAUACGUUUUAGUCAACGAUACAAAUCUGUUGUACAACAACACAUCAGUUGUAUUACUAAUGUUUUUAUACUAAAAAUAUGUCUGAAAAAUGCUGAAGUCAAUCUGACUCCAUGAAAGGUGGUUGUCCUAUAAAAAUAAAUAUCAUUUUUUCGAUCUUAAA